ensembl:processed_transcript Gm15787 predicted gene 15787
AUUGCCAGUGUUAUACAUGGCCGGACACUGCGCCACGCGACUGCAUUGCCAGCCACGAGGAAGUCUGACAAGUAUCACAAGCUCGAGGACUGACUGGACUAUAAAGUGGGACUUGUCUUAAAAGACCAGGAGCAACAUUGGAGAUGAUGCAGAAAGUGGCAUCUGUCUUUGCUACUCACAUCCAUACAGCAAUGAACAAAGGAGAACAGGUGAUCAAAUGUUCCCCCACCCUUUUUCUAAAUUUAUUUUUAUUAUUUUUAGUGGUAGGUAUGUGUCUGUUUGGAGGUAUGCACACCUGCAUGUGGGUUCUUGAGGAGGCUACCAAUGUCUAAUCCUCUGACAAGAGAGGAA